GACUACGGCGGGCGGUGCGCGGCGGCCGCAUGGCCCUCCGGCUUUUCUCGUAGCUCAGCCGAAGUUCCAACCCCGCACCGCCCGCCACCCUU
rnacentral:antisense_RNA from 1 species